GGAGAAUUUAAAUUUAAGGGGGGGGGGGGAGAGAGAUUGUAAUAUCCCAUAUUCCCUUAAAUACUCAAUUGGUUGUAAGUUGAGAUCAACUGAGUUCCUAUGUACUCUAUUUAUUGCCAGUUGAGACAGAUUGAGCUCCUACGUAUGUGGUAAGAAAAGGAGGGAAAAAAGAAGAAGAAAUAAAAAAAGGGAAAAAGACAAAGA
rnacentral:lncRNA from 1 species